rnacentral:rRNA from 1 species
GUCGAGCGAGGUUACUGUUUUGGAUCCCUUCGGGGUGAAGAAGCUUUAACCUAGCGGCGGACGGGUGAGUAACGCGUGGGUAACCUACCCCAAAGUCCGGGAUAACAGCGGGAAACCGCUGCUAAUACCGGAUGCCUUUACCUUGGGGCAUCUUGAGGUAAAGAAAGGCAACGCUUUGGGAUGGGCCCGCGUCCCAUUAGCUAGUUGGUGAGGUAACGGCUCACCAAGGCGACGAUGGGUAGCCGGCCUGAGAGGGUGGACGGCCACACUGGGACUGAGACACGGCCCAGACUCCUACGGGAGGCAGCAGUAGGGAAUAUUGCGCAAUGGACGGAAGUCUGACGCAGCGACGCCGCGUGAGCGAUGAAGGUCUUCGGAUCGUAAAGCUCUGUCCUUGGGGAAGAAGGUCUUCGGACUUGACGGUACCCAAGAAGAAAGCCCCGGCUAACUACGUGCCAGCAGCCGCGGUAAUACGUAGGGGGCGAGCGUUGUCCGGAAUUACUGGGCGUAAAGGGUGCGUAGGCGGCCCUUUAAGUCGGAUGUGAAAGCCCGCGGCUUAACCGCGGAAUGGCAUUCGAAACUGGAGGGCUUGAGUGUCGGAGAGGGUAGUGGAAUCCCCAGUGUAGCGGUGA